CACGUAGUUAGCCGUGGCUUUCUGAUUAGGUACCGUCAAGAUGUGCACAGUUACUUACACAUUUGUUCUUCCCUAAUAACAGAGUUUUACGAGCCGAAACCCUUCAUCACUCACGCGGCGUUGCUCCGUCAGGCUUUCGCCCAUUGCGGAAGAUUCCCUACUGCUGCCUCCCGUAGGAGUCUGGACCGUGUCUCAGUUCCAGUGUGGCCGAUCACCCUCUCAGGUCGGCUACGUAUCGUCGCCUUGGUAAGCCGUUACCUUACCAACUAGCUAAUACGGCGCGGGUCCAUCUAUAAGUGAUAGCAAAACCAUCUUUCACUUUAGAACCAUGCGGUUCUAAAUGUUAUCCGGUAUUAGCUCCGGUUUCCCGAAGUUAUCCCAGUCUUAUAGGUAGGUUACCCACGUGUUACUCACCCGUCCGCCGCUAACUUCAAAGGAGCAAGCUCCUUAUCUGUUCGCUCGACUUGCAUGUAUUAGGCACGCCGCCAGCGUUCAUCCUGAGCCAGGAUCAAACUCU
rnacentral:rRNA from 1 species